AGUUAUAAAGCUAAAUGAACAGCGGUAUACUUUGAAAGUAUAUUAGAGGAGUUUAAAUCUCCUUAUAACUU
rnacentral:tRNA from 1 species